ensembl:lncRNA
AGCCAGAGAGCAGUGAUUGGUCAGACUGACUGCGAGUCAGAGAGCAGCGAUUGGUCAGACCAUAGAUAAUAUAGGAGACAGCACGCUAGCGUAUCUAGUCUAUGUAUAUCUGUGGUCGGCACGUCUGGUAGCAUCUCUGGCUGCUGUUGACCUUGUUUUUGGAGUAAAACACGGUGGAAGCUGAAUUAGUGAGGAUGACUCCUGCUCCUGUCAUCUCUAAGCUCCUCACACAUCUUUACCUGCACAUGAGGAAAAUCACUCCUGUAGAAUGCAGAUGUUCAGAGGGAGAUGAUGCCACAUCUGGUCCAGCUGAUGGAAGGUCUUGAAGUUCUCUGACUGGCCUCGACUGAAGAUGGUCGUCUCACUGGAUUUAAGGUUCAGAUGCUCAGUAACAAACUCCACCAAUGUGCCAACAAGGAAGCUUUAGGUUUAUUAAAUGUUGCUAUGAAGGUUUCGCUGUUUUUCUUUGUGAAUGCAAUGUGCUCCAACUGAAACUUGAAUUAGAACUUAGAAAUAAAUCCUUCCAUCUGAAAGGAUUUAGUUGCAUUAAUAACCUCAUAACAUUCUAAUUUUUAUUCCAGUCUUGGUUGAAAAUAGAAUCUCUGUAUUGAUUCAGGUAAAAACUGAACUUCACAGUAUGUUGGAGCAAAACAACCAGAUGAAAACUGUGAUGGUGUUGGAUUGUCAGACCGUAAUGUUGCAGCUCAAAGCAGCUUUUCUAGCUCAGUUCAUUCUGACAUUCAGCUAUGAAUCAACACAGCAGAUGGUGAUCCAUGCUGUGGAAGUCUCACAUCUCCUGAUUUAAUGGAGCUGCUUUGCACUUUUUACACUGUUUAUUCACCAACACUUUAUUUAAUAAAAGUCCCAUCUAGUUUUUAUGAGGAAUGUGAUGUUUUAAUUUCUCUGUGAAUAACUGCAGUCUAAUGCAACAGCUGGAGUUGUAACAUCUGUCCUGAUAUUGAUCAUGAAGUAUUGAUCAGAAUACUUAUGGUUAGCAGUCAUUUUACAUUAAAAUCUUUACUUGUGUUGUGAACUUUGGUAAGAAGCAGAAACGUUAGCGUUGCCAUGGAUAUAAGAGUGUUAAAUUCUGUCCAUGUUUCCAUUUUGGGAAAUGCAGUCCAGUUCCAGAAUGUGGAGGAAUUUAGUCUCACAAUCACAGACAACAAAUAUUAUCUGAAAGUCGGGUUAUUGUUGUUUAUCAGCACAAUACAAAAAGGUUAAUGUUAGAAAUAUUCCAGUUAAGACUCUAGAAUAUCAUGAUUUAUGUAAAUUUACCUCAAUAAUAUGAAUGUUCAGGUUAAGAUUGUACAGUGAUAUUAUGUAAGUUUAGCUAAUUAAUGUUUAUAACUCUGCACUGAAAUAUUAUUUAAAUUGACAUCAUUAUUAUAAUAUUUAGGGUCAGACCCUACAGUAUUGAGAUUAAGAAAUCAAAUAUUCUAUAAAAUGUAAAUACACUGAACUCAUUUGGAUAUAUUUAAGUGAGACUACAAUAUUAUUUGACACAAAUCUAUCUAAAUCAAAAUUCUAAUAAUUUUCACGCCAAACAUUUACUGGACUGAUUUAAACAUUAAAAUCACUCCUUUCUAAUCCUCUGCUGUACGUUCAAACCUGAGGCCUUAAAUAGAAACACACAAGUAUCUGAUUGAAGGAACUUCUGCAGAGUCCUGGUUCCAGAACAUGAUGAUAGAAUUAUAGACAAACUUUAACAAAAGCUGCCUGAGAGUUUACAGGUUUUUAUGUUGGAUUUCUUCAGUAAUUUAAUGAGCGUUAUCAGCAAUAAUCAAGUGUUCAUUUGAUGAACUUCAUUCCCUAAAACAUACAGAAUUGGAGCUCAUAUCUUUGACAGCUGUAAAGUUUCUGCUCCUUCAAAGUUCACAACACAAUGAAUGAAUUCCUAAAACACUCUCAAUGCUGAAGCAGUGAUCAGUUUUUCUGUUUCUUCUCUGGAGAUGCACAAUGAGGGACGUCUGCAGAGACUGAGAAAGAGUCUCACCACAUCCUGACAUGAGAAAAAGACUUUAUUGAAGACUACAAUGAGAAAAACUGUCAGACAGCAGACGGCUGCAUUCAAGUCUGUAGCUGCUGAAUUCAUGGAUGAAUCAUCUGGCACUAGAGAAGAAGACCAUCAAACAUCCACGUCAGCUGAUGGAGGUCCAAGAGUCUCACCGAACAACCAACCUACAGAGUGAAGACCUCGAAUCUGAUUGGACGGCCUCCUAUUCAGCCACAUUUUAGGCUGUUAGAUUGUUCCAGAUAAGACAAGUACAAGAUUCUUCAGAGCCGUUCUACCACGAGCCUGACAGGA